rnacentral:rRNA from 1 species
UACGUAGGGAGCGAGCGUUGUCCGGAUUUACUGGGCGUAAAGGGCGCGUAGGCGGUCUGUUAAGCGUGAAGUGAAAUCUCCAGGGCUCAACCCGGAAACUGCUUUGCGAACUGGCAGACUAGAGGAAGGUAGAGGUAAGUGGAAUUCCCGGUGUAGCGGUGACAUGCAUUGAUACCGGGAGGAACACCCAUGGCGAAGGCAGCUUACUGGACCUUAUCUGACGCUGAGGCGCGAAAGCGUGGGGAGCAAACAGG